rnacentral:tRNA from 1 species
GGGGUUGUAGCUCAGUGGUAGAGCACUUGCCUAGCAUAUGUGAGGCACUGGGUUCAAUUCUCAGCAACACAU